rnacentral:rRNA from 1 species
GAUCUUGGUCAGGACGAACGCUGGCGGCGUGCCUAACACAUGCAAGUCGAGCGAGGAGAUUCCUCGGGAUGAUCCUAGCGGCGGACGGGUGAGUAACACGUGGGCAACCUGCCUCAUAGAGAGGAAUAGCCUUCCGAAAGGGAGAUUAAUACCUCAUAACAUUGCAGUUUCGCAUGGAACAGCAAUUAAAGGAGUAAUCCGCUAUGAGAUGGGCCCGCGGCGCAUUAGCUAGUUGGUGAGGUAACGGCUCACCAAGGCGACGAUGCGUAGCCGACCUGAGAGGGUGAUCGGCCACAUUGGGACUGAGACACGGCCCAGACUCCUACGGGAGGCAGCAGUGGGGAAUAUUGCACAAUGGGGGAAACCCUGAUGCCAGCAACGCCGCGUGAGUGAUGACGGCCUUCGGGUUGUAAAGCUCUGUCUUCAGGGACGAUAAUGACGGUACCUGAGGAGGAAGCCACGGCUAACCACGUGCCAGCCGCCGC